GUGUCUGGCUCCCAAUGUGUCCUUUUUGUAAGGACACCAACCACGUUGGCUUAGGGGCCACCCACCGUUCCAGAGUAAUCUCCUUCGAGCUCAUUACAUCCACAAGGAUCCUAUUUCCAAACAAGGCCACAGUGUGAGGUGCUGGGGUUAGACGUCAACCUAUGGGGUUGGGAGAACUCAAGUCAACCAUAACCAGCCUCAAUCUGAAGUUGUUUAGUUCAGGGGCCUACAGCAUGGAUCUCCUACAAGAAGUACAAUAUUCGGUCCCAGAACAGCAAGUCACUCAGAAUGACAAGCCCAGGAUCAUUAAAAAGAGAUGGUUUGGUUCAGCAUCUUCUAUACACUUUAGGACAAUUGAAUGACUAACAUGCAAGGGGCUGGGCAUCCGAAGCCCACUCCAGGGCCCCUACUACUCACCAAGCACAAGUGGAAGCUACAAAAUGCCUCUCCAGGCGUUUCCAUGUGUUGAAUGUCUUCAACACAUAAGCAAAUGAGGCCCUUGAGGGCUUGAAAUCAACUUUGUGAUUUUAAUCUUCAACUCUAGGGGUCCCUAGACCAUGCACCCAAGAUCCUGGGUCCUACAGUGUUGGUGCAGAGCUGACAUUCAGUUUCCUAACUGGCAAGCUCUGCUGCAAAGCUACAGGUCACCUGAACUAACCAGGCUGCAGACCGGGAUCCAGUGAGAUGUUCAAAGGAAUCCGCAAGGCCUCUGGCCUCCAGGGCCCCUCCUCUCCAGCGAGCACAUUAGUAUUGCUGGCUGUGGGUUGCUUGCCCUGCUCAACAGGACUGGCACAGAUAGCACCUCCUGUCUGCAUCAGCGCUUCCCUGCAGAUCAGAGGCUGCCUGGAGCAGUGGGCAGAGCACUAGGAGCACCAAAGAAGCUGGUUCUCCUUGCUUUGUGGAAAACAAAUGUCUUGAGGAACAAAUGACACAUUCUCACUACCAAGGCACUCAGGCCAUGAGAGGCUCGACUCUCAUCAUGGGGCAGGGAGAGCUGGCAAGCGCCUUAACCUCUUUAAGCAUCAGUUUUUUAAACUGCAAAGUAGUGGUGACUUCCACACUGGUUGAUUGUACAUAUUAAAGUAUCUUGAAGACUUCAAGGUGUGAGACAGAUGUCCUUUGUGGAGUUGGACCUCACCCAGAUUUCUGCAAGGGGCUGAUGUGCCCUCCCCCACUCCCCGGUUGAUGUGUGCUUGGCUUGCUAACAGCUCACCUUUCAUCCUUUCUGUGGGACAGCCCGUGACUGCUGGGCGCUGGUUUGUCCAGAAAUGCCUGGAAUGUACGGCCAGACUCCCCAGGAGUGCGUGUGGCCAGUAAUCGACUGAUGGGGUAUAACCACCUCUCUCCCCUGCCUCUGCCUGGACAACCUCCAUCGUGCAAUUCAAACUCCAGAGCUUCCCCUGUGGGACCCGAUCAAGGCCAGACUCCUCCUCGGUCUUUAUCUAGCUUCUCCCCCUUCCAAUUCCACAUUUCUCCACUCCCUUGCAGGGAUGACACCUGACCUGAUUUGACUCUAAGAGCUCUACACCCACUCUUUACACUGCCCUGAAUGUUCUUCCUGAGGAUCGUCAGCUGGCUGACUCCUUCUUGUCAUUCAGAUCUCAGCUUAAAUGUCACCUGUGCAGAGAAGCCUUCCUAGGACAUGAUGUGAAGUGGUCAUUUAAAUUCCCGGCCGAGCUCUAGGCACUCACUGCUGCCUGCGCAUCUCUUUGUUUAUUACCCACCCCUCCUUCCCCUCUGCAUUUGCAGUUGGCCGACACAAGGGCACAAAGAUGCCUUUUUAUUAUUUUAGUGAGGCCUCCAGGCUUCGUUUUAUUACCAUUAGACCUGUGUCCCUCAAGUUUCAUCCCUCCAGUCACAGAUGCUGAAAAGAAACCUGGUUCUCCUUGCUUUGUGGAAAGCAAAUGUCUCAGGGAACAAAUGAGACAUUCUCACUACCAAGUCACUCAGGCCAUAGGAGACCCCAAGCGACUGGUUAUAACACAGUGCAGGCAUCCAUUCAUUCUUUGCAGCAUUUAUUCACACUUUGAUGCAGCAGAUAUUUUAGUGAGUGUCUUGAUAGGCUCUGAGGCCAAAACAGUGAACAAAACAAAAGUGCCUGCCUUCAUGGAGCUUACAUUCUUGUGUCACCUGCUCUCAAAGAGGUUUCACAGUGUUCUCCAGCUAAAGAGAGAGUAAUGAGCUCUGCUCGGAUGUCUUGGAAGCCAGAAACAAUCCUAAGCACAUAUGCCCCUAUUUGAAGUAAAAAAUGAUGGAGUUGAAAGCAGAAAAAGACAAAUUUUUUAAUUACAAUUGGAGAAUACAACAUUUAUCUCUCAAUAACUAAUAUAACUAGAUAGAAAGUUAGCAACAGCAUAGAAGAAACCAGUAUCAUCAAUGCAGAUCUAAUUGGCACUUGUAUAGAACACAUCACCCAACAAGAGCAGAACAGGCCUUUCUUCCAUCACUCAGAGGACAGAUAGCAAGAUGGACCAUUCCUGGACUGUAAGACAAACCUCAAUACAUUUAAAAGAAUUAAAACAUAUAAAAUGUAUUCUCCAACCAUAAUGGAAUUAAACUAGAGAUAAAUUACAGAAAGAAGAAAACAUCUGGAAACUAAAAAAAAAAAAAAAAAUCUAAAUAGUCCAUGGUUCAAAGUGAAAGUUUUAAGAGAAAUUAAAAAAUUCAUUGAAUUGAGUGAAAGUGAAAAUAUAACAAAAUUUGUGGAAUACAGUUGAAGAAAAGGGAAAUUUAGGACACUAAAUUCAUAUAUUAGGAAAGAGAGAAAGUAUCAAUCAUUUAUGUAAGUGGCCCCCUCAAGAAUGUAGAAAAAGGAAGUGAAAUAAACUGAAAGCAAGCAGAAAGAUAGAAAUAACAAAUGGGGCAGAAAUUGAUUAAAUUGAGAAUAGAAAAUAGUAGUGAUAAAUCAAUGAAACAGAGUUGGCUGAUUCUUUGAAAAGAUUCAUAAAGUUGAUGAACCUCCAACAAAACCAACAAAGAAAAAACCAGAGAAAACGCAAAUGAUCAUUAUCAGGAAUUACAUAGAAGAUAUCACUACAGACCCUGCAGGCAUCUGAAAGAUAAUAAGGAAAUGCUAUGAACAAUUCUACACACAUAAAUUUGACAACUUAGAUGAAAUGGACCAGUUCUUCAAAAGUACAAAUAACUAUUAUUCACCCAAUAUAAACCAGAUAAUGUGUAUACCCCAGUGGC